rnacentral:tRNA from 1 species
GAGGCUGUAACUCAAUGGCAGAGUACUUGCCUAGCAUGUGUGAGGCACUGGGUUCGAUCCUCAGCACCACA